GGAUGUGAGGGCAAUCUGGCUUUUUGUCACCCUUUUUAUCACCAGAGUUGAUUCAGCUGGUCUGGCUGGCUGGGCGGGUGUCCCCUUCCUCCCUCACCACUCCAUGUGUGUCCUUCCCCAAGCUGCAUGCUGGGUCAAAGAGGACACCACCCUGAUAGAGGAGGAUGGUUUCCUCCAUAAAGGAUAUAUAAGUAGCUGCACUCCCCUGCUAGGACCACCAAACAAGCUCUCAAGGAAACUGAGCCAGGAAGAUUGCCAUGAGUUGAGACCCCAUCUUAAAAAAACAAAAGAAUAA
rnacentral:snRNA from 1 species